rnacentral:lncRNA from 1 species
AAGAGACCUUUGUAAUCAUUUUGGAAGCUCUGUGAUUUUUCCAUGCUUAUUACCCGUUACCACCCCUGUUCAUGUUCUUGAAAAACCCAUAAAGAGAAGCGAGCACGUAUGCUUAUUUUGAAGGCCAACAAAAGGAAGCCGAAAACUCUGAGAACUCUGGGUAACUCUUCCACUGGGCUUGGGAAGUGGCAUCAAUGAAAAGGGAGUCUGGAGAUUCGAGAAAUUUGGGAAUGGGGAGGGCUGGGUUAAGAGCCAAGCUGGGAGGGAGGGAGGUCAGAGCCCAGGCCUGAGCUGGCAGAAGGCGGGAAUGGAGGCCCCCACAGGAGACCAUCACUCCCCUGUCAUGGUUCCAGACAAAAUACAGGAUGCCCAGCAUACUAAGGAAACCAAAGCUGCUGCCAACUUUUCUUCCACUCUCAUGUUAGGAGGGAGUUGACUGAGUGAUCAUCAAAAAUGCAGAAAGAACAGAAGCCCAAUAAUACCAGUACUUUAUUUCUCUCUAGAAGACCAUGUCACAGAGUAGUAGUGUUGCAGAAAAAGACCCCAUGAGGCCUAUUCCUGACUUUGUUCUGUGAGCCCUCAGGAAAACCCCAAUUUCUCAGAGCUCUUCAUCCCUCAUGUGUAAAAGGAGACUCCAAGUAGUCUCCAUUGUGCCUACCACAAUGUUUGUGGUGAGGAUCAAAUGAGAUAAUGUGAAACGUUGAUAUGCCCCAGAACUCCACCCUCAACCCUGCUUUUUUAAUAUGUAGUCUCUGUAUGUCAACUUGUCACCAUUAUGAAUGAUGGGCUGCUAAAUGACUGAUCAAUUGUAUUUCCCACUGCCUAAUGGAUGUUCCAGUAUCUUAUGGCUGGUAAAUUAAAAACUGAACCCAUUCAGAACUGCCUCUCAUGCUCAUGAUGCAUCCAGACUGAGCAAGGGUCUUGAACAGUCCCCCCACACCAAGAGUCCUACAUUUCCCACACCAGAUUUCUCCAGGCUUUCAAGGAACAACAUGGACACUUGUUACCUUAAAGACAUCCAGAAUCUUGGAUAGUGCAGGGGCAUCAUCCAUCAGCUCUUGUAAGUGUGUAGACAGUGCAUCUCUACAUACACCAACCACAACCGGCUCAUUCUCAGCAAGGCUCCUUACAACAACAACCAAAAAACCCCAGAAUCCUGUGAAAGCAAUACCUGGACUUGGAGGAUGGACCUGAAAUUCUGUCUCUUGUUUCAUGAAAAAAAAAAAAAAAAAAUCUCUGGAUUUAAGGACAACCAAUAAAAAAACUGGCAGGUUGAGUAAAACUGCAUGUGUUCUCCUACUCUAAUAUAUUCUAUUCCUUGUGAUGAGGAACAAAGCUGAUGCUGAACACAGAAAUCUCGUAGGUGCUUGGAUUCUGACUCUCUAAGUGGUGUAAGCAGGACUACAUUGAGGAAUGACUGUAAGAUGUAAGAUGAGGCAAGGAUUCUGUUUAAUCCCCUGUGGAAUUCCCAGUAUUGAUGGCAAUGUCAAGAACAUAGUAGGUGGUGAGAAAAUAUUUUUGAACGAAUAAAUGAGGGUAAUGUUUUCAAACUGGACCACUAGGUUCACGAGAACACUGCAGAUUUGAUGUUCACAAAUGUUACAUUCCAUCUUGAGAUUCAUAGCCAGGAUGGUGUUAUUCUCAUGGGCUGUAUAACUUUUUUGCUCACUUGGCAAAUUACUUCUCAAACUCCUACAUAAACUCGUAGUUCUACUGUUGGACAGUUUUCAAGGUUAAAAUUCCCGCAUUGUGGGCCUUGUAGCUUUCAUGUCUUAAUGCUUAUUUUCUGUGUUUUAUGAGGAGCCAUUUCAAAGAUAAUGGUAACCAGUGAUUCUUUGCCUCCUCAGAAGAUAAUUAAGAGCCAACAGACAAAUUGAAUCUUGGCGUUUGAAUUAACAGCAGGAGAUAAAUACAUCCCGAAAUGUUUGAAUGUUAAAUUGUAAGGGUGUUGUUGAAUUGCAAACAGGAACUCAGUUUCAGACAUGUGAAGCUUGUUGGAUGCCAGCUGAUAUUAUUACUAUUUAGAGCUAAAGAAAGAAAAACAAGUUGGAGAUAUAAAUGCUAAAACAUACAGAUAUUGAGAACUAUGAAAUGGAAUGAAAUCCCAGAGACUGUGGCUACACAAGAGAGGAAUUCCAGAAAUUGAGCUUUAAAACACCCAAUAUUUGGAUGUCAGGGAGAUGAGAAGGUACUGACUCAGAGACUGAAGCAGAAUGGCCAGGAGAUGAGGGAAUGUAGUGCACUGGCAGCCAGUGAAGAGAGUUUUACAGUGAGAUAGGAGUGAUCAACUUGUUAGCUAAUGACUCACCAAGGAAGAUAAGAACUGAGAAUUCCCCAUUGGCUCUAUCAACAUGGAGACCACUGAUUAUUUUGAUAAUACAAUUUUAAUGGAGUGGUAGUGUGAAUGCUUGAUUGGAGGGAAUUCAAGAGAGACGGGAGGAGGGAAACUGGAGAUAGAAAGUAUACUCAUGUUGUUUGAGAAACAUGAGGAAUUGGCUGUAAAGGGAAAGAGAGAAGUAGCCAGAGAGGGAAACGAUGUCAGGAGAAAUGCCGAUUUGCCAUCCAGGUUGUCACACACGAAGAGUGGUGGUACAGUAAAAGGUCAGGGCACAGGCUCUCUCUCCCACGUGCUCAUUUUAAACCCUGGCCUCACCUCUUACUACUUGUGUGAACUUGGGCAAGUCCUUUACCCUCUCUGUGGCCUGGUGCUUGGCUUCUUUACCUUCCACAUG